GCAGUCGAGCGACAGAUAAGGAGCUUGCUCCUUUGACGUUAGCGGCGGACGGGUGAGUAACACGUGGGUAACCUACCUAUAAGACUGGAAUAACUCCGGGAAACCGGGGCUAAUGCCGGAUAACAUUUAGAACCGCAUGGUUCUAAAGUGAAAGAUGGUUUUGCUAUCACUUAUAGAUGGACCCGCGCCGUAUUAGCUAGUUGGUAAGGUAACGGCUUACCAAGGCAACGAUACGUAGCCGACCUGAGAGGGUGAUCGGCCACACUGGAACUGAGACACGGUCCAGACUCCUACGGGAGGCAGCAGUAGGGAAUCUUCCGCAAUGGGCGAAAGCCUGACGGAGCAACGCCGCGUGAGUGAUGAAGGUCUUCGGAUCGUAAAACUCUGUUAUUAGGGAAGAACAAAUGUGUAAGUAACUGUGCACGUCUUGACGGUACCUAAUCAGAAAGCCACGGCUAACUACGUGCCAGCAGCCGCGGUAAUACGUAGGUGGCAAGCGUUAUCCGGAAUUAUUGGGCGUAAAGCGCGCGUAGGCGGUUUCUUAAGUCUGAUGUGAAAGCCC
rnacentral:rRNA from 1 species